rnacentral:rRNA from 1 species
UACGUAGGGGGCAAGCGUUGUCCGGAUUUAUUGGGCGUAAAGAGCGUGUAGGCGGCUUUACAGGUCCGUUGUGAAAACUCGAGGCUCAACCUCGAGACUCCGGUGGAAACCGUAAAGCUAGAGUCCGGAAGAGGAGAGUGGAAUUCCUGGUGUAGCGGUGAAAUGCGCAGAUAUCAGGAGGAACACCCGUGGCGAAAGCGGCUCUCUGGGACGGUACUGACGCUGAGACGCGAAAGCGUGGGGAGCAAACAGG